GUGGAAGCAAGGAAGUUCAGGUGAAAGUUCUCGUUAAGCGUGGGAACAAACAGCAAACCAAGAAGAUGUACAUCCCUCGUGAUUGCACACUUUUACAGAGUACUAAACAGAAAGAAGCAGCGGAGCUAGAAGAGAAGCAAGAUAUUAAGAGGUUAAUCUUAGAGUACAAUGACCGGGAAGAGGAAGAACUUAAUGGAUUAGGC
rnacentral:misc_RNA from 1 species